CAAAGUUCCAAGAGGGGCUAGGGGUAAACCCUAGCUGCCUCUCUGUCUUCCCCUACCCCCUGCCACUGCUCCACCAUUUUUGGUGAUAAAUGGCGUGUAUGAGGAGUGGUUGUGACAGUGAAAAGGACGGAGCAUUUAUUGCUUCGUCCUUUUCACGAUUUUUAUCACAAAUUCGCAUCCAAACGAACCCUUAAAGUCAAGCCCACCUAUUGGGCCUUAGGCCCAAUAGGAAAUUCAUUCAAAAUCAAGUCUGCGAAGAUAAAGAAAGUAGCUAGGCCCGCGGAAGGCCCAGCCAUGGGUGAAAAUGGCUAACUGGGGGGCUUGGUACGCCCCUAGUCUAACUUUGGCUCCAUUUACAUUGUUAUAUUUGCUUUUCAUUUCAAUUUUGAUGUAUUGGUAACUUGUAUCAAACUCAUAUUAUAGUAGAAAUAUUUUAUGGUUGGAA